UACGUAGGGAGCAAGCGUUGUCCGGAUUCAUUGGGCGUAAAGAGCUCGUAGGCGGCUUGUUGCGUCUGCUGUGAAAUCCCGGGGCUUAACCCCGGGCGUGCAGUGGAUACGGGCAGGCUAGAGGCAGGCAGGGGAGAACGGAAUUCCUGGUGUAGCGGUGAAAUGCGCAGAUAUCGGGAGGAACACCGGUGGCGAAGGCGGUUCUCUGGGCCUGAUCUGACGCUGAGGAGCGAAAGCGUGGGGAGCGAACAGG
rnacentral:rRNA from 1 species